UUUGAGGGCUGGCGGCUUGUUCGAUUGCGGAGGGGUUUGCUGCGCUGAAAGGCGAUAGGAGCAAAAGCUACCGGUAUGUCGGCACCUCAAUGCUAGGCCCAAUCAUGGAGACAAGUGAAAGAGAGCUGCUGAAAUCCACAGCCCAAGGAGGAAGGCAGUGUCUGUCACAUCCCUUUGUUGCAGCAGGAAUUACGGAGCAAAACUUGCAAAAUAUAUAACUCGCUACAGUGGAGAAGGGGA